GGGGUUGUAGCUCAACUGGGAGAGCACCUGCCUUGCAAGCAGGAGGUUGAGGGUUCGGGUCCCUCCAAUUCCA
rnacentral:tRNA from 1 species